ensembl:misc_RNA Metazoa_SRP Metazoan signal recognition particle RNA
GCCAAGCCCGGUGGCGCAUGCCUAUAAUCCCAGUUCCAGCUACUCAGGAAGCUGAGACAGAAGGAUCACUUGAACCCAGGACUUCUGGGCUGAAGUCAGCUCUGCCUAUGAGGUUUUCACAUUAAGUUCAGCAUCGAUAUGGUGACUUCCUGGGAGCAGGGGCCCACCAGGUUGCCUAUGAAGAGGUGAACUGGCCCAGGUUGGAAACAGAGUAGGUCAAAACUCUUAUGCUGAUCAGUAGUGGGAUUAUCCCUGUGAAAAGCCACUGCACUCCAGCCUAGGUGACAUAGUGAGACUCCUCC